UUAAGCGACUAAGCGUACACGGUGGAUGCCCUGGCAGUCAGAGGCGAUGAAGGACGUGCUAAUCUGCGAAAAGCGUCGGUAAGGUGAUAUGAACCGUUAUAACCGGCGAUGUCCGAAUGGGGAAACCCAGUGCAAUUCGUUGCACUAUCGUUAACUGAAUACAUAGGUUAACGAGGCGAACCGGGGGAACUGAAACAUCUAAGUACCCCGAGGAAAAGAAAUCAACCGAGAUUCCCCCAGUAGCGGCGAGCGAACGGGGAGCAGCCCAGAGUCUNUGUGAACUCGAAGAGUAGGGCGGGACACGUGGUAUCCUGUCUGAAUAUGGGGGGACCAUCCUCCAAGGCUAAAUACUCCUGACUGACCGAUAGUGAACCAGUACCGUGAGGGAAAGGCGAAAAGAACCCCGGCGAGGGGAGUGAAAAAGAACCUGAAACCGUGUACGUACAAGCAGUGGGAGCACCUUCGGGUGUGACUGCGUACCUUUUGUAUAAUGGGUCAGCGACUUAUAUUCUGUAGCAAGGUUAACCGUAUAGGGGAGCCGCAGGGAAACCGAGUCUUAACUGGGCGUUAAGUUGCAGGGUAUAGACCCGAAACCCGGUGAUCUAGCCAUGGGCAGGUUGAAGGUUGGGUAACACUAACUGGAGGACCGAACCGACUAAUGUUGAAAAAUUAGCGGAUGACUUGUGGCUGGGGGUGAAAGGCCAAUCAAACCGGGAGAUAGCUGGUUCUCCCCGAAAGCUAUUUAGGUAGCGCCUCGUGAACUCAUCUUCGGGGGUAGAGCACUGUUUCGGCUAGGGGGUCAUCCCGACUUACCAACCCGAUGCAAACUACGAAUACCGAAGAAUGUUAUCACGGGAGACACACGGCGGGUGCUAACGUCCGUCGUGAAGAGGGAAACAACCCAGACCGCCAGCUAAGGUCCCAAAGUCAUGGUUAAGUGGGAAACGAUGUGGGAAGGCACAGACAGCCAGGAUGUUGGCUUAGAAGCAGCCAUCAUUUAAAGAAAGCGUAAUAGCUCACUGGUCGAGUCGGCCUGCGCGGAAGAUGUAACGGGGCUAAACCAUGCACCGAAGCUGCGGCAGCGACACUAUGUGUUGUUGGGUAGGGGAGCGUUCUGUAAGCCUGCGAAGGUGGCCUGUGAGGGUUGCUGGAGGUAUCAGAAGUGCGAAUGCUGACAUAAGUAACGAUAAAGCGGGUGAAAAGCCCGCUCGCCGGAAGACCAAGGGUUCCUGUCCAACGUUAAUCGGGGCAGGGUGAGUCGACCCCUAAGGCGAGGCCGAAAGGCGUAGUCGAUGGGAAACAGGUUAAUAUUCCUGUACUUGGUGUUACUGCGAAGGGGGGACGGAGAAGGCUAUGUUAGCCGGGCGACGGUUGUCCCGGUUUAAGCAUGUAGGCUGGUUGUCCAGGCAAAUCCGGAUAAUCAAGGCUGAGGUGUGAUGACGAGGCACUACGGUGCUGAAGUAACAAAUGCCCUGCUUCCAGGAAAAGCCUCUAAGCAUCAGGUAACAUCAAAUCGUACCCCAAACCGACACAGGUGGUCAGGUAGAGAAUACCAAGGCGCUUGAGAGAACUCGGGUGAAGGAACUAGGCAAAAUGGUGCCGUAACUUCGGGAGAAGGCACGCUGGUGUGUAGGUGAAGNUGGAGCUGAGACCAGUCGAAGAUACCAGCUGGCUGCAACUGUUUAUUAAAAACACAGCACUGUGCAAACACGAAAGUGGACGUAUACGGUGUGACGCCUGCCCGGUGCCGGAAGGUUAAUUGAUGGGGUUAUCCGUAAGGAGAAGCUCUUGAUCGAAGCCCCGGUAAACGGCGGCCGUAACUAUAACGGUCCUAAGGUAGCGAAAUUCCUUGUCGGGUAAGUUCCGACCUGCACGAAUGGCGUAAUGAUGGCCAGGCUGUCUCCACCCGAGACUCAGUGAAAUUGAACUCGCUGUGAAGAUGCAGUGUACCCGCGGCAAGACGGAAAGACCCCGUGAACCUUUACUAUAGCUUGACACUGAACAUUGAGCCUUGAUGUGUAGGAUAGGUGGGAGGCUUUGAAGCGUGGACGCCAGUCUGCGUGGAGCCAACCUUGAAAUACCACCCUUUAAUGUUUGAUGUUCUAACGUUGGCCCCUGACCGGGGUUGCGGACAGUGUCUGGUGGGUAGUUUGACUGGGGCGGUCUCCUCCCAAAGCGUAACGGAGGAGCACGAAGGUUAGCUAAUCCUGGUCGGACAUCAGGAGGUUAGUGCAAUGGCAUAAGCUAGCUUGACUGCGAGCGUGACGGCGCGAGCAGGUGCGAAAGCAGGUCAUAGUGAUCCGGUGGUUCUGAAUGGAAGGGCCAUCGCUCAACGGAUAAAAGGUACUCCGGGGAUAACAGGCUGAUACCGCCCAAGAGUUCAUAUCGACGGCGGUGUUUGGCACCUCGAUGUCGGCUCAUCACAUCCUGGGGCUGAAGUAGGUCCCAAGGGUAUGGCUGUUCGCCAUUUAAAGUGGUACGCGAGCUGGGUUUAGAACGUCGUGAGACAGUUCGGUCCCUAUCUGCCGUGGGCGCUGGAGAAUUGAGGGGGGCUGCUCCUAGUACGAGAGGACCGGAGUGGACGCAUCACUGGUGUUCGGGUUGUCAUGCCAAUGGCACUGCCCGGUAGCUAAAUGCGGAAGAGAUAAGUGCUGAAAGCAUCUAAGCACGAAACUUGCCCCGAGAUGAGUUCUCCCUGAGACUUUAAGUCUCCUGAAGGAACGUU
rnacentral:rRNA from 1 species